CCUUUAUGGAGAGUUUGAUCCUGGCUCAGGACGAACGCUGGCGGCGUGCCUAAUACAUGCAAGUCGAGCGGAUCUUACCUUCGGGUAAGGUUAGCGGCGGACGGGUGAGUAACACGUAGGCAACCUGCCUGUGAGACCGGGAUAACAUUCGGAAACGAAUGCUAAUACCGGAUAUGCAACUUGGCUGCAUGGUCGAGUUGGGAAA
rnacentral:rRNA from 1 species